ensembl:lncRNA
GAAGUAUUGAUCAGAAUACUUAUGGUUAGCAGUCAUCCCUGAAGUUUUACAUUCAAAUCUUUACUUGUGUUGUGAACUUUGGUAAGAAGCAGAAACUUUAGCGUUGCCAUGGAUACAUGAGUGUUAAAUUCUGUCCAUGUUUCCAUUUUGGGAAAUUCAGUCCAGCAGAUGAGUUUGUUUUUACUGCCAGCUACCAUUCAGUCUGAGAUAUUAAGAAUAAAUAAAUAAAUAAAUGUGCAUAAUGUGGAAAUGAACAGAUUUUAUUUUUAUUUAUUCCUACAGCAUGUAAAGUUCCAGAAUGUGGAGGAAUUUAGUCUCACAAUCACAGACAAUAAAUAUUAUCUGAAAGUCGGGUUAUUAUUGUUUAUCAGCACAAUACAAAAAGAUUCAUGUUAGAAAUAUUCCAGUUAAGACUCUAGAAUAUCAUGAUUUAUGUAAAUUUACCUCAAUAAUAUGAAUGUUCAGGUUAAGAUUGUGCAGUGAUAUUUAUUAUGUAAGUUUAGCUGAUUAAAGUUUAUGACGCUGCACUACAAUAUUUAUUAUUUAAAUUUACAUCAUUAUUAUAAUAUUUAGGCUCAGACCCUACAGUACUGAGAUUAAGAAAUCAAAUAUUCUAUAAAAUCUAAAUACACUGAACUCAUUUGGAUAUAUUUAAGUGAGACUCUACAAUAUUAUUUAUGACACAAAUCUAUCUAAAUCAAAAUUUUAAUCAUUUUUACUCCAAACAUUUACUGGACUGAUUUAAAUAUUAAAAUCACUCCUUUCUAAUCCUCUGCUGUAUGUUCAAACCUGAGGCCUUAAAUAGAAACACACAAGUAUCUGAUUGAAGGAACUUCUGCAGAGUCCUGGUUCCACAACAUGAUGAUAGAAUUAUAGACAAACUUUAACAAAAGCUGCCUGAGAGUUUACAGCUUUUUAUGUUAGAUUUCUUCAGUAAUUUAAUGAGAGUUAUCAGCAAAAAUCAGGUGUUCAUUUGAUGAACUUCAUUUCCUAAAACAUCCAGAAUUGGAGCUCAUAUCUUUGGCAGCUGUAAAGUUUCUGCUCCUUCAAAGUUCACAACACAAUGAAUGAAUUCCUAAAACACUCUCAAUGCUGGAGAGCGUUUGAUGCUGAAGCAGUGACCAGUUUUUCUGUUUCUUCUCUGGAGAUGCACAAUGAGGGACAUCUGCAGAGACUGAGAAAGAGUCUCACCACAUCCUGACAUGAGGAAAAAGACUUUAUUGAAGACUACAAUGAGAAAAACUAUCAGACAGCAGACGGCUGCAUUCAAGGCUACAGGAGGAGCCCUACGAGGACGAGCUGGUCCACCUGAUGGUGGCCAGUCGCUGCGGUUCAAAGCCAACACCGACUACGUGGACUUCUACUGGACCACACGGAGGCCUUCAAACCGGACCAACAAGUUCAGCGACUCCCCGACUCGUGGGUCUGAGGACACUGCCGAGCCUCGGUCCAGCCGGCCUCCUGUCUGUGGGUGUUUGAGUGCUGAGAGGUUUGUGGAUGCAUGUGAACGUUCUGUGUUGAAACAGCAGCUUUGGACUCAGUAACGCCGGGAAAAACCAAGAGCUCCUUUAUUUGUGACUUCCACUAAAAAAACUGAAGAAAAUAAGUUUGCCAGGGUUCUGACUGAUAACAGAUUAUUAAAUAAUGAAAGUAAUCCUUUAAAUAUUCCUUUAAACAAUCCUUUUAGGUCUACAUUUCCUUUACACUGACUUCUUGUUAUAUGUACAAGUAUUUUGGGUGGAAUAUACCAUUAAGCCCAAUGUUCAAGGGUUCUUCUGGGAAUAUACCAUUAAACCAACCUUUUAGGUAAAUGUUCCAGGAUGUUGGGUAGAAUAUACCAUCAGAUCAACCUUUUAGGUCUACAUUGGAAGAUUUUAGAGUAGAAUAUUACUCCAAACCAUCCUUUAGGUCUACAUUUAAGGUGGAAUAUUCCUUUACACCAAGAUUUUUUGGUCUACAUUGAAGGAUUUUAGGUGGAAUAUUCCUUUGAAUGAACUUUUUAAGUUUAUGUUCAAGGAUGUUGGGUGGAAUAUACCAUCAGACCAACCUCCAAGGUCUACAGUAGUGGAUUUUAGGUGGAAUAUACCAUUAAACUCACCUUUUAGGUUUACAUUGGAGGAUUUUAGGUGGAAUAUUCCUUUUAACCAGCCCCUCAGGUCUCUUUGAGGAUUUUGGAUGGAAUACUCAGUUAAAGCAACAUUUUAGGUGCAUGUCCAAGGAUUUUUGGUGGAAUGUUCCUUUAAGGUGGAUGUUUGAGGACCUUGUAGGUGGAAUACUUCCUGAAACCAACCUUUUAGGUCAACAUUCAAAGAUUUAAGGUGGAAUAUUCCUUUAAACCAACCUGAAUUUCAUGUUUUCAUCAUUAUCAAGUGAGAAACCUCAAUCCAGACUCCUCAUAAUGACAUUUGAGAUUUAUGCUGCUGUUAUUUGUUUAGUCCAGACUAAAUGACAGAAAUCCACAACUGUAAUUUUAUUUCAGGACUCGGUUAUUAAAUGUCAAAACAAUCCAUGUGACUCUAAAAACUCAACAGCUUUAUAAACUCUAAGAUUAAACUCUCCACAAGGAUCC